UUUUGACACAUACAAGAUUUUUUAACAGUGACAAAUGAAAUACAGAUUGUCCUCACAUAAUGACAAGGUUAGGUUCAUAUGAAAUUCUGUUGGUUAGCAAAAUCAUCAUUAAGUGAUAGUAUUAGUUUAGACCAAGAAUGAAAACCUAUGUUCUCUCAAGGACCACUUUUUCUGACACUGGCUGUGUGCCAUAUGGGAAAAAAAAAAAAAAAAAUAGUAUUUUUUCACAUUUUAACUUGCCUUCUAAUAUGACUAUUACUAAUUCACAGUGUAUAUUCAAGAUUAUGAUGGUGCCGCAUUCUGAGUUCAUUAAUAACUAACUUGAUAUAAGUUACAUAUAGCCCAGUACAUAACAUGAAUAUAUAAUAUAUCAUUCAUUCAUGACUCAUGGUUUUAUGAAGUAGCAUUUCUGAACAGCAUUAUGGGCCUGAUCAAAUAGCGCUGCAGUUCCUGUGCGGCCUGGAGGCCAGAGGUUUCCCAUCCCUGGUUUAGGCCCAUGUCUGAUAAUUUUAGAUAUUAUUUUUGUCUGGUCAUUUGUGAAAUAUUUUGUACAUUAAAUACUAUGGUUUCUCAGAGAAAAGAAAGGUAAGUAUUUUAUUUAUUCUAGAAAUAAGCAAAGGAUUUGAAAAUUUCAUAUUCUUGUUUGAAUGUGUAAAAAUCUUGCAGUAUACAGGUAUUUCCUGAUAUAUGAUUGGGUUAUAUUCCUGAAAAUGCAAUCAAUAGAGUGAAUGAUUGUUUAAGCAAACUGAGAUUGAAUCUAAAAAAUAUAAAUGCAUUCCAAGACCCUUUAAAACUCAUAAAAAACACAAAAUAGCAUAUUUAGGUACAGUUAUUGCCUAAAGUAAUGAGAUACAUGUUAUGUGAAUAGAAUAAACACAAGAAUAAAGCUGUAGAAUAAAAUGAAAAAAGUAUUUUUGCAGUUUAGAAUGUUUAAAUAGGCUUUGGCUAAGACAGUGUUUCUUAAACUUUUUUGUGCAGCGGACCCCUUUUAUUAAAAUUACUCAUGUA